AUUGAACGCUGGCGGCAUGCUUUACACAUGCAAGUCGAACGGGCUUAGGGGCUUGCUCCUAAGUUAGUGGCGAACGGGUGAGUAAUACAUCGGAACGUACCGUGUAGUGGGGGAUAACGUAGCGAAAGUUACGCUAAUACCGCAUACGAUCUACGGAUGAAAGUGGGGGACCUUCGGGCCUCACGCUAUACGAGCGGCCGAUGUCUGAUUAGCUAGUUGGUGAGGUAAAGGCUCACCAAGGCAACGAUCAGUAGCGGGUCUGAGAGGAUGAUCCGCCACACUGGGACUGAGACACGGCCCAGACUCCUACGGGAGGCAGCAGUGGGGAAUUUUGGACAAUGGGCGAAAGCCUGAUCCAGCCAUGCCGCGUGUCUGAAGAAAGGCCUCGGUUGUAAGGUACGUUAGUU
rnacentral:rRNA from 1 species